rnacentral:rRNA from 1 species
GCACGCUGGCGGCGUGCCUAAUACAUGCAAGUCGAGCGAGCUGAAUUCAAAGAUUCCUUCGGGAUGAUUUGUUGGACGCUAGCGGCGGAUGGGUGAGUAACACGUGGGCAAUCUGCCCUAAAGACUGGGAUACCACUUGGAAACAGGUGCUAAUACCGGAUAACAACAUGAAUCGCAUGAUUCAAGUUUGAAAGGCGGCGUAAGCUGUCACUUUAGGAUGAGCCCGCGGCGCAUUAGCUAGUUGGUGGGGUAAAGGCCUACCAAGGCAAUGAUGCGUAGCCGAGUUGAGAGACUGAUCGGCCACAUUGGGACUGAGACACGGCCCAAACUCCUACGGGAGGCAGCAGUAGGGAAUCUUCCACAAUGGACGCAAGUCUGAUGGAGCAACGCCGCGUGAGUGAAGAAGGUUUUCGGAUCGUAAAGCUCUGUUGUUGGUGAAGAAGGAUAGAGGCAGUAACUGGUCUUUAUUUGACGGUAAUCAACCAGAAAGUCACGGCUAACUACGUGCCAGCAGCCGCGGUAAUACGUAGGUGGCAAGCGUUGUCCGGAUUUAUUGGGCGUAAAGCGAGCGCAGGCGGAAUGAUAAGUCUGAUGUGAAAGCCCACGGCUCAACCGUGGAACUGCAUCGGAAACUGUCAUUCUUGAGUGCAGAAGAGGAGAGUGGAAUUCCAUGUGUAGCGGUGGAAUGCGUAGAUAUAUGGAAGAACACCAGUGGCGAAGGCGGCUCUCUGGUCUGCAACUGACGCUGAGGCUCGAAAGCAUGGGUAGCGAACAGGAUUAGAUACCCUGGUAGUCCAUGCCGUAAACGAUGAGCGCUAGGU